rnacentral:rRNA from 1 species
GAUGAACGCUGGCGGCGUGCUUAACACAUGCAAGUCGAGCGAAGCGCUUAAGUUUGAUUCUUCGGAUGAAGACUUUUGUGACUGAGCGGCGGACGGGUGAGUAACGCGUGGGUAACCUGCCUCAUACAGGGGGAUAACAGUUAGAAAUGACUGCUAAUACCGCAUAAGACCACAGGGUCGCAUGACCCGGUGGUAAAAACUCCGGUGGUAUGAGAUGGACCCGCGUCUGAUUAGCUAGUUGGUGGGGUAACGGCUCACCAAGGCGACGAUCAGUAGCCGACCUGAGAGGGUGACCGGCCACAUUGGGACUGAGACACGGCCCAAACUCCUACGGGAGGCAGCAGUGGGGAAUAUUGCACAAUGGGGGAAACCCUGAUGCAGCGACGCCGCGUGAAGGAUGAAGUAUUUCGGUAUGUAAACUUCUAUCAGCAGGGAAGAAAAUGAC